UACGUAGGAGGCAAGCGUUGUCCGGAAUUACUGGGCGUAAAGCGCGUGUAGGCGGUUUGUCGCGUCUGCUGUGAAAAUCCGGGGCUCAACCCCGGACUUGCAGUGGGUACGGGCAGACUAGAGUGUGGUAGGGGAGACUGGAAUUCCUGGUGUAGCGGUGAAAUGCGCAGAUAUCAGGAGGAACACCGAUGGCGAAGGCAGGUCUCUGGGCCACUACUGACGCUGAGAAGCGAAAGCAUGGGGAGCGAACAGG
rnacentral:rRNA from 1 species